rnacentral:rRNA from 1 species
UACGGGGGGGAGCAAGCGUUGUUCGGAUUUACUGGGCGUAAAGGGCGCGUAGGCGGCCACCGCAAGUCGGUUGUGAAAUCUCUGGGCUUAACCCAGAAAGGUCAAUCGAUACUGCGGGGCUAGAGUGCAGAAGGGGCAACCGGAAUUCUCGGUGUAGCGGUGAAAUGCGUAGAUAUCGAGAGGAACACCUGCGGCGAAGGCGGGUUGCUGGGCUGACACUGACGCUGACAGCGCGAAAGCUAGGGGAGCGAACGGG